rnacentral:rRNA from 1 species
AGAGUUUGAUCCUGGCUCAGAACGAACGCUGGCGGCGUGCUUAAGACAUGCAAGUCGAACGGUAAGGCUUUUCACUCUUCGGAGUGACGAGUACACGAGUGGCGCACGGGUGAGUAACGCGUGGGUAAUCUGCCCUCAGGUUUGGGACAACUCCGGGAAACUGGAGCUAAUACCGAAUAAGACCACGAGGUCCCUGGACUUUGUGGAAAAAGGUGGCCUCUUCUUGAAAGCUAUCGCCUGUUGAUGAGCCCGCGUCCCAUUAGCUUGUUGGUGAGGUAAAAGCUCACCAAGGCAUCGAUGGGUAGCUGGUCUGAGAGGAUGAUCAGCCACACUGGAACUGAGACACGGUCCAGACUCCUACGGGAGGCAGCAGUCGGGAAUCUUGCACAAUGGACGAAAGUCUGAUGCAGCAACGCCGCGUGAGGGAUGAAGGCCCUCGGGUCGUAAACCUCUGUCGGAAGGGAAGAAAGUAUUUUGGGCUAAUACCCCAGAGUAUCGACGGUACCUUCAAAGGAAGCGCCGGCUAACUACGUGCCAGCAGCCGCGGUAAUACGUAGGGCGCGAGCGUUAUUCGGAAUCAUUGGGCGUAAAGCGCGUGUAGGCGGCUGGGUAAGUCGGAUGUGAAAGCCCGGGGCUCAACCCCGGAAUUGCAUACGAAACUGCUCAGCUAGAGUCUCGGAGAGGAGGGCGGAAUUCCCG